GAAAAAUCAACAAGUUUUAUGGAAUCUGAAGCUGAACAAAAUUAAAGCUGUACAGCACAUGAGGAUGAAAGUUCUCCAUUUCUACCAAAGAAAGGCAAUGAACAUUGCAACUGACAACUAUGCAACUGUGGGAUGCUGCGACAGUCAUCAUUCUGCACCGGUUGCCAAAUGCCCAAAUUAUGACCUCAUGACUGUAGAGAUCCCACAAUGGCCACAACUUUGAAGACCGGUCAUAAGUCUCCUUGUUCAACACUGCUAAUGCAAUCAAGAAAAAGAAAAAAGAAAAACAGAGAAGGACAAGGAAUAAGUGACUUUCUGGGCAUUUGUUCCAAAUCCAGAUACUGGGGUUGAUCUUGUGUGAAAAUCUGUGAAAAACCAAUCAACUGGUUUUGGAUAACGUGUUGAAGACAAUGUACUCCAAAGGGACAAACGGGUAUUUGGGGCAGGCAGAUUGAAAACUACAUGAUUGACUCAAGACAUCUAUUAUUUUGUUCACAAUAUUUACAUUCCUGCCUUCCUUCAGAACCUUGAACACUUCAGUGAGACCACUAGUGUUCCCUUUUCUGCCAGCAAAAUGUAAUCAUGGAUUGACAGUGAUGUUACACACAUAUAUAGUUCUCUCUUUCUUUAACUUUGAUUGUUCUAUAGAAAAAUUUCUACUGGUAUUAUGUUUGAAUUUGGAAAUUCAAAGUGCCUUGAUAAUAAUGUCCAACAUUCCCACAUGCAAAAUGGGAGUUCUGCUAAAUUAUUCCCUGUGUUCCUGCCAACUUGCAUACCACUCAAGAUAUGUUUCCUAUUAGCUGUCCUUUCAGUAGUUAUGCGAGUAGUCCAUUUUGCAUUCUGGGUACAUUUUGAUUCUCUUUGAGUUUGAUGUCCUUGUACUUUUUAAUGCACUGGAUGAGCAAGAGGUAUAUAAAUGUGUGAACAUAUUAUUAAAUAUGCCUUUAGUAAGACAGGCAAGAACAUUUCACAAAGAUUAAAAACAUUUUAAAAAAA